AGCAGCCGCGGUAAUUCCAGCUCCAAUAGCGUAUAUUAAAGUUGUUGCAGUUAAAAAGCUCGUAGUUGAAUUUCGGGAUCGAUACGUCGGUCGUGCCUUCGGUACGUACUGUCGUCAUCGAUUUCUCCCUUCUGACGAACCAUGAUGUCAUUAAUUUGGUGUUAUGGGGAAUCAGGACUGUUACUUUGAAAAAAUUAGAGUGUUUAAAGCAGGCAUUAGCUUGAAUACAUUAGCAUGGAAUAAUGAAAUAGGACGUUCGAACCUAUUUUGUUGGUUUUUAGGAUCAACGUAAUGAUUAAUAGGGAUAGUUGGGGGCAUUAGUAUUCAAUUGUCAGAGGUGAAAUUCUUGGAUUUAUUGAAGACUAACUACUGCGAAAGCAUUUGCCAAGGAUGUUUUCAUUAAUCAAGAAC
rnacentral:rRNA from 1 species